GACGAACGCUGGCGGCGUGCUUAACACAUGCAAGUCGAACGGUAAGGCCCUUCGGGGUACACGAGUGGCGAACGGGUGAGUAACACGUGGGUGAUCUGCCCUGCACUUCGGGAUAAGCCUGGGAAACUGGGUCUAAUACCGGAUAGGACCACUGCCUGCAUGGGUGGUGGUGGAAAGCUUUUGCGGUGUGGGAUGGGCCCGCGGCCUAUCAGCUUGUUGGUGGGGUGAUGGCCUACCAAGGCGACGACGGGUAGCCGGCCUGAGAGGGUGACCGGCCACACUGGGCCUGCGAUACGGCCCAGACUCCUACGGGAGGCAGCAGUGGGGAAUAUUGCACAAUGGGCGCAAGCCUGAUGCAGCGACGCCGCGUGAGGGAUGACGGCCGUCGGGUUGUAAACCUCUUUCAGCACCGACGAAGCGCAAGUGACGGUAGGUGCGGAAGAAGGACCGGCCAACUACGUGCCAGCCGCCGCCGUAA
rnacentral:rRNA from 1 species